UUGUGACCAGCUGAAUUAUUAGACAGCACACCACAAAAAGCUUUUUCAUCAUCUCUCUAGAGGAAGAAAUUUGCUUUAUGACAAAGGAACAGCAAGGUUAUCAGCUGAGGUCACUACCCUAAUAUACAAUGUGCUGCACAGGAGAAGAACAUUGCUAGAAAUCAUCUCCUAGCCACACAAAGGUGAACAAAAGACAAAAAGCUUGGCCCUGCUCAUAGUCUGGCAAGGUCACCACCAAAAUCAAGUUCAACUGAACUCACUUUUACAAAGAAACUUGACACAAUCAAAGGCUUCCUUAGGAGGAGGACACAUUACCCUUGGAGCAAGAGAAAACAUAUACUGAAGUGAAAGCAUGUCAAAGAAGCCUGUGGCUGAAGAGGGAGUGAGGAGGAGAAGGUGAUAAAUUGAGCUGGACAGCAGCUGGCCUUU